rnacentral:rRNA from 1 species
AACGGCCGUACCAUGCUGAAUAUACCGGUUCUCGUUAGAUCACCGAAGUUAAGCAUCAUUGGGCGCGGUCAGUACUUGGGUGGGUGACCACCUGGGGAACACUGCGUGC